CAGCGCAUAGCUAAACACAGAUAUAGCGCCUCCCUUACACUGAGGAGUUACCCGUG
rnacentral:rRNA from 1 species